rnacentral:rRNA from 1 species
UGGGGAAUAUUGCACAAUGGGCGCAAGCCUGAUGCAGCCAUGCCGCGUGUGUGAAGAAGGCCUUCGGGUUGUAAAGCACUUUCAGCGAGGAGGAAGGUGGUGAGCUUAAUACGCUCAUCAAUUGACGUUACUCGCAGAAGAAGCACCGGCUAAUUCCGUGCCAGCAGCCGCGGUAAUACGGAGGGUGCAGGCGUUAAUCGGAAUUACUGGGCGUAAAGCGCACGCAGGCGGUUUGUUAAGUCAGAUGUGAAAUCCCCGGGCUCAACCUGGGAACUGCAUUUGAAACUGGCAAGCUAGAGUCUCGUAGAGGGGGGUAGAAUUCCAGGUGUAGCGGUGAAAUGCGUAGAGAUCUGGAGGAAUACCGGUGGCGAAGGCGGCCCCCUGGACGAAGACUGACGCUCAGGUGCGAAAGCGUGGGGAGCAAACAGGAUUAGAUACCCUGGUAGUCCACGCUGUAAACGAUGUCGAUUUUGGAGGUUGUGCCCUUGAGGCGUGGCUUCCGGAGCUAACGCGUUAAAUCGACCGCCU